rfam:Myotis brandtii contig159676, whole genome shotgun sequence.
CAUGCACUGGUGGGGUCCCUCAGCCUGGCCUGCACCCUCUCGCAAUCUGGGACCCCUCAAGGGAUGUCGGACUGCUGGUUUCGGCCUGAUCCGUGCAGACCAGGCUGAGGGACCCCACCGGUGCACG